AGUGAACGCUGGCGGUAGGCCUGACACAUGCAAGUCGAACGGCAGCACAGUAAGAGCUUGCUCUUACGGGUGGCGAGUGGCGGACGGGUGAGGAAUACAUCGGAAUCUACUUUUUCGUGGGGGAUAACGUAGGGAAACUUACGCUAAUACCGCAUACGACCUACGGGUGAAAGCAGGGGAUCUUCGGACCUUGCGCGAUUGAAUGAGCCGAUGUCGGAUUAGCUAGUUGGCGGGGUAAAGGCCCACCAAGGCGACGAUCCGUAGCUGGUCUGAGGGGAUGAUCAGCCAGACUGGAACUGAGACACGGUCCAGACUCCGACGGGAGGCAGCAGUGGGGAAUAUUGGACAAUGGGGGAAAGCCUGAUCCAGCCAUACCGCGUGGGUGAAGAAGGACUUCGGGUGGUAAAGCCCUUUUGUUGGGAAAGAAAAGCAGCAGGUUAAUACCCCGCUGUUCUGACGGUACCCAAAGAAUAAGCACCGGCUAACUUCGUG
rnacentral:rRNA from 1 species